GACGAACGCUGGCGGCGUGCUUAACACAUGCAAGUCGAACGGAAAGGCCCUGCUUUUGUGGGGUGCUCGAGUGGCGAACGGGUGAGUAACACGUGAGUAACCUGCCCUUGACUUUGGGAUAACUUCAGGAAACUGGGGCUAAUACCGGAUAGGAGCUCCUGCUGCAUGGUGGGGGUUGGAAAGUUUCGGCGGUUGGGGAUGGACUCGCGGCUUAUCAGCUUGUUGGUGGGGUAGUGGCUUACCAGGGCUUUGACGGGUAGCCGGCCUGGGAGGGUGACCGGCCACAUUGGGACUGAGAUACGGGCCAGACUCCUACGGGAGGCAGCAGUGGAAAAUUUUGCACAAUGGGCGGAAGCCUGAUGCAGCAACUCCGCGUGCGGGAUGACUGCCUUCGGGUUGUAAACCGCUUUCGCCUGUAACGAAGCGUGAGUGACGGUAAUGUGUAAGGAAGCACCGGCUAACUACGUG
rnacentral:rRNA from 1 species